GGGUGACUAGUGACAGAGUGAGGAAGGAGGUGACACAAUGACAGAGGGAGGGAGGGGGAGACUAGUGACAGAGUGAAGGAGGUGGUGACUGUCACUAGUCACCUCAUCCCUCCCUCUGUCACUAAUCACAACCUCCCUCACCCUGUCACUAGUCACCCCCUCUCUCUCUCUGUCACUAGUCGCCCCCUCCCUCUCUCUGUCACUAAUCACACCCUCCCUCUCUCUGUCACUAGUCACACC